CGCGAUAACUCCGCAAUGCGGGAAACCGCGACGGGGCCACCCCGAGUGCCGGCCGAAGAGGCCGGCUUUUGCCCGGUGUAAGGAGCCGGGCGAAUAAGCGGGGGGCAAGUCUGGUGUCAGCCGCCGCGGUAAUACCAGCCCCGCGAGAGAGAGGGAGGUGGGUAAAAAUAAUUAACAAAGCUUACAACAAUAACUAGAAUGAACAUUACAGCAAUAAAAACUACUGAAGUAAGUUUAUGAUAACCUCAUAAUCUUCUGUUAAGAAACUUCAAUUUAACCUUAUUCCCACCUUCCUCUCCGCGUGUGGUCGGGGUGUUUACUGGGCCUAAAGCGCCCGUAGCCGGCUCGGUAAGUCCCCCCUGAAAUCCUCGGGCUCAACCCGAGGGCUUGGGGGGAUACUGCCGAGCUUGGGGGCGGGAGAGGCCGAGGGUACUCCCGGGGUAGGGGCGAAAUCCGAUAAUCCCGGGAGGACCACCAGUGGCGAAGGCGCUCGGCUGGAACGCGCCCGA
rnacentral:rRNA from 1 species